UACACCUGUUCUGUGGAACUGUUGGUGAUAUGUGAUAGCUGUUAUCAGUGACACUUGCUUACCUCAACUUAUUUACGCAGGUUUUUAAGUAACAAUUGAAAAUACAUCAACAUGAUUGUUUGCUCACUUAAUGGUAUAUGAUGUAAAACAUUUUAUGACAUUAAAUAUUUGCAUUAUGUUUUUUAUUUCUAGAAAAUUUCAAGAAAUUUCAAGUUUCAUGGAAAUAUUACCAGGCGCCACUUUACGAAUAUCAUUGGUUAGGAGUUUUCCCGCGUUUUCUAUUUCGUGACUUCUAUAACCUCGGAAACACGUGAAGCACGUCAAAGAUACAAACCAACAAUAAUAGUGAAUGAGUGAUAAUUUCCAUGACAGAUGAUGACGUUGAUGUUCGUAAUUCUAUUUUGCAAUCAUACGUAUAUGAAAGAACGACAAACAAGUCGUGAUGAGUAUGGACUUACGUCAAUCUCUUAUAGUACUACAUGAACCGUAAUAUAGUCGCCUUGUAAAAGUGAACUUUAAUUGUUGCACAUUUAAAGUUCCUUGUAGACACAUUUAAAUGUUAUUAAACAGAACUAUGUACUUUGAACAAAUAGUUUUCCGAAGUACAGUCUGGAAUGGUGUUAAUUCUUUUUACAAGCGAAUUGGCGCUGAACUAACUUUUCGAAAGUGUUAAUCAAAAUAUUAGUUCAAAGCGUUAAACAUGUUUCAUUGUUCAGAUUGUUACAAAACUUUGGGCAUGUUUUAUGCGAAUAAGUUUAUUCAACUGUUUUACGUCCAGUGAGCAAACAUAAUUAAAUUUUAAAAAAGUAAUUAAAAUAUUUUUACAUGAUGAUAUGCAGCCCGAAUUUAAUUAUGAGUUUUUUUUGUUCUAAAAAUUAUUUUAAUAAAAAUAAAGUUAUAAAAUCAUCCAA